AAUCUUCCACUAUGGACGACAGUCUGAUUGAGCAACGCCGCGUGAGCGAUGAAGGUUUUCGGUUCGUAAAGCUCUGUUGCGCGGUAUGAACAAGUACGGGCGUAACUGCCCGUACCUUGACGUUACCUCGUCAGAAAGCCACGGCUAACUACCUGCUAGCAGCCGCGGUAAUACGUAGGUGGCAAGCGUUGUCCGGUAUUAUUGGGCGUAAAGCGCGCGCAGGCGGUCCUUUAAGUCUGAUGUGAAAGCCCAGGGCUCAACCGUGGAGGGUCAUUGGAAACUGGAGGACUUGAGUACAGAAGAGGAAAGCGGAAUUCCACGUGUAGCGGUGAAAUAAGUAGAGAUGUGGAGGAACACCAGUGGCGAAGGCGGCUUUCUGGUCUGUAACUGACGCUGAGGCGCGAGAGCGUGGGAAGCAAACA
rnacentral:rRNA from 1 species